AAAACACAUACUGAAACUUUUUAGUCCCUGUGUAAUAAGUGUUAAUAGCGUUUUUUGCAGAACAAUCUCAAAAUCCUGUAGAUUUUAUUGUGGCCACACAAUCCAGCAUGCAAACGAUGCCCACAGUUAAAGUGAAAAAUAACUCAACUAAUUUGAAUUAAAUAUGUAAGUACUGCUGAUUGGUAUUUGAGAUUUGUUGUAUCUUGGGCCAAAAUGUCUAAAGAGGCACAAGAUAUAUUUGCAACUAAAGAAAGACCUUUAACAGCACAUCGUUGUUCAACUAUAAGCAUUAUUAUGAAUAAUAUUUAUUAUGUUCUUACUGUUUGUUUAUGCCAUUUAAAAACAUUUAGAUGUAAUUGCAUCUUCUAUGGUUGCCAAGUAUUCUAAAUUGUUUAUAGAUGAAUAUGGUUCCACAGUAAUUGGUAGGGGUCAUGACAGUUUAACGUUACAAUUAGUUAACCAUUAUGACUAUCUGUGGCAGCCAAACCGUGUGCCACUGUUAUUGGGUGUUUUAAAUUUGGAAUCCCAAGAGGGGUCCCAAUUAUUAGUUGAUGUCAAAAAAACUGAUAGUUAUGGUUACUUAAACCGAGAACCAGUUCUCAGUGUUUCAAACAGCCCUGAAGAACUCGAUUACUAUUUACAAUGAACUAAAAUAAAUGGAAAGAUCUUGUCAAAUGAUUUGUUGAUAAAAUUUUCCAAUUUCUUUACAGUAAAGUUGAUGGUUUGCAACAUCACUUUGAUGUUUUGAUGUGUGAAAUGAAUGCUGGUGAACUCUUGAUAAAAGCAUUAGAUAAUGAAAAAUUUAAGUGCUUUUUUCGGCAUCAAUCCUGAAAAAGGGAGCAAAUCAAGGCAAACGAAGAAGACUUUAUCAAUAAGCAAAAUUUUGCUGAAAAUUUUGCUCAAUACUGCAGAAGUUUGCAAGAUUUAAUAAUAUUUGAAUUUACCAUGUAGUCGUAAACUUCUAAAUAUAAUUCUAAAUAUAAAUUAAACUUCUAAAUAUAACUUU
rnacentral:lncRNA from 1 species